UACGGGGGGGGCAAGCGUUGUUCGGAAUUACUGGGCGUAAAGGGCUCGUAGGUGGCCAACUAAGUCAGACGUGAAAUCCCUCAGCUUAACUGGGGAACUGCGUCUGAUACUGGAUGGCUUGAGUUUGGGAGAGGGAUGCGGAAUUCCAGGUGUAGCGGUGAAAUGCGUAGAUAUCGGGAGGAACACCAGUGGCGAAGGCGGCCACCUGGACCGGUUCUGACGCUGAUGCGCGAAAGCGUGGGGAGCAAACAGG
rnacentral:rRNA from 1 species